GUACACAGAUGAGGACUAUCAGAAAGAAAUUGAACAUAUUGAGAAGGUUUUUACCCCAUUGGUUGAAAAAUGUAAGAAGUAUGGAAGGGCAAUGCGCAUUGGAACAAACCAUGGAAGUCUUUCAGAUCGUAUAAUGAGCUACUAUGGAGAUUCACCUAGGGGAAUGGUUGAAUCUGCAUUUGAGUUUGCAAGAAUAUGCCGAAAGUUGGACUUCCAUAAUUUUGUGUUUUCAAUGAAAGCAAGUAACCCAGUCAUCAUGGUCCAGGCAUAUCGUCUGCUUGUAGCAGAAAUGUAUGUUCAGGGCUGGGAUUAUCCAUUACAUUUGGGUGUCACUGAAGCUGGAGAAGGAGAAGAUGGACGCAUGAAAUCUGCAAUUGGCAUUGGGACUCUUCUUCAGGAUGGUUUGGGUGAUACAAUCAGGGU
rnacentral:misc_RNA from 1 species